rnacentral:rRNA from 1 species
GUGCCAGCAGCCGCGGUAAUACGUAGGUGGCAAGCGUUAUCCGGAAUUAUUGGGCGUAAAGCGCGCGUAGGCGGUUUUUUAAGUCUGAUGUGAAAGCCCACGGCUCAACCGUGGAGGGUCAUUGGAAACUGGAAAACUUGAGUGCAGAAGAGGAAAGUGGAAUUCCAUGUGUAGCGGUGAAAUGCGCAGAGAUAUGGAGGAACACCAGUGGCGAAGGCGACUUUCUGGUCUGUAACUGACGCUGAUGUGCGAAAGC